GACGAACGCUGGCGGCGUGCUUAACACAUGCAAGUCGAACGGAAAGGCCCUGCUUUUGUGGGGUGCUCGAGUGGCGAACGGGUGAGUAACACGUGAGUAACCUGCCCUUGACUUUGGGAUAACUUCAGGAAACUGGGGCUAAUACCGGAUAGGAGCUCCUGCUGCAUGGUGGGGGUUGGAAAGUUUCGGCGGUUGGGGAUGGACUCGCGGCUUAUCAGCUUGUUGGUGGGUAGUGGCUUACCAAGGCUUUGACGGGUAGCCGGCCUGAGAGGGUGACCGGCCACAUUGGGACUGAGAUACGGCCCAGACUCCUACGGGAGGCAGCAGUGGGGAAUAGUGCACAAUGGGCGGAAGCCUGAUGCAGCAACGCCGCGUGCGGGAUGACGGCCUUCGGGUUGUAAACCGCUUUCGCCUGUGACGAAGCGUGAGUGACGGUAAUGGGUAAAGAAGCACCGGCUAACUACGUG
rnacentral:rRNA from 1 species